UACGUAGGGCGCAAGCGUUGUCCGGAAUUAUUGGGCGUAAAGAGCUCGUAGGCGGUUUGUCGCGUCUGCUGUGAAAUCCCGAGGCUCAACCUCGGGCUUGCAGUGGGUACGGGCAGACUAGAGUGCGGUAGGGGAGACUGGAAUUCCUGGGUGUAGGCGGUGGAAUGCGCAGAUAUCAGGAGGAACAACCAAUUGCGAAGGCAGCUCGCUGGGACGUUACUGAC
rnacentral:rRNA from 1 species